CUAGAAGCCCCCUUUCAGUCAUUACUGUCCCCCUCCCAGAGAUAGCCAUGCCUGACUUCUUAUACCUCAGAUGAGUUUUGCCUCUUACUGACUUUUAGCCCUCUGCUCAUGUGUGCUAUGCUGUGCUGUACUCAGUCACUCAGUUGUGUCCAACUCCUUGUGACCCUUUGGACUGUAGCCCACCAGCCUCCUCUGUUCAUGGGAUUCUCCAGGCAGCCCUUUCGGGGAGAGGAUCUUGUGGGUUGCUGCAGGCAGUGACAGUGAUUUGCAGAAAGGUCAAUUAUUUGGAAGAGUUUAAAAAGGAUUGGAAUUCACCAGUGGAGCUAUCUAGUCCUGAACUUUUCUUUGUUGGUUGUCCAAUUUGCUGGGCUAUAACGUGGCACUGUGAUAAAGAGACUGCCUGCCAAAGCAAGAGAUGUGGUCUCGAUCUCUGGGUUGUGAAGAUCCCCUGGAGUAGGAAAUGGCAAUCCAUUCCAGUAUUCUUGCCUGGGAAAUUCCAUGGACAGAGAAGCCUGGUAGGCUGCAGUCCAUGGGGCCACAAAGAGUCAGACAUGACUGAGCGACUGAAUACAGCACAGUUGUUCAUAGUAGUCUCUUAGGAUCCUUUGUAUUUCUGUGGUAUCACUUGUAAUGUCUCCUCUUUCCUUUAUAAUUUUAUUUAUUUGAAUUCUUUGUCUUCUUUUUUUCUUGGUAGGUCAAACUGAAAUUCCAACACUGGAUAUUACCUGUUUUUUUUAAUGUUUGCUAGUUUGAUGAACUAUAACAUUUUAGUGUUUUAAUUGUAUUUUUGUUUACCGUGAGAAAUGGAAUAUUUUCCUUUGCCGUUUUCCAUUUCUAUUUCUUUUACUAUGAAGUACCUCUUUAUAUUCUUUCCCCCUUUUUAUUAAAUGGUUCACCUUAUUAAUGAAUUGUAAGAAUUAUUGACAUACUGAAUAUUAGCCUUAGCUUGUUUUACAUGCUGCAGACAUUUAAAUGUUAUUUUAACUUUGUGAUGUUUUUAUGGCUCCAAAUUUUGGAUGAUUAUGUGGCCCAGGUUUUUAAUCUUUUUUCUUUGUGGCUUCGGUGCUUUUCUACCUUCAGUAGGCCUUCCUCAUCCCAUGGUUAUAAACAAAUGAAGACAUUUAUUAAAGUCGCAGUGAGCUGUAGGCCAGCAUUUCCUUGGCUGUAGAGACUUAGGAGAGAAGCCCAGGUUGGGUUGGCUCUGCCUGGAGGCCAACAGUUCCACACUUCCUUCAUCCAGGGCAAAGAAAAGAGGCCACAGCUUGUGGAUGGUCACCACUGCCAUGAAGCAAGUCUAGACAGAGGCCUUCAAGCUGCUCUUGCUGUCCGCUCCAUCCUGGGAGGGUGCAGGAAGCAUGAGGCC
ensembl:lncRNA